GAUGAACGCUGGCGGCGUGCCUAAUACAUGCAAGUCGAGCGAACAGAUGAGGAGCUUGCUCCUCUGACGUUAGCGGCGGACGGGUGAGUAACACGUGGAUAACCUACCUAUAAGACUGGGAUAACUUCGGGAAACCGGAGCUAAUACCGGAUAAUAUAUUGAACCGCAUGGUUCAAUAGUGAAAGACGGUUUUGCUGUCACUUAUAGAUGGAUCCGCGCCGCAUUAGCUAGUUGGUAAGGUAACGGCUUACCAAGGCAACGAUGCGUAGCCGACCUGAGAGGGUGAUCGGCCACACUGGAACUGAGACACGGUCCAGACUCCUACGGGCGGCAGCAGUAGGGAAUCUUCCGCAAUGGGCGACAGCCUGACGGAGCAACGCCGCGUGAGUGAUGAAGGUCUUCGGAUCGUAAAACUCUGUUAUUAGGGAAGAACAAAUGUGUAAGUAACUAUGCACGUCUUGCCGGUACCUAAUCAGAAAGCCACGGCUAACUACGUG
rnacentral:rRNA from 1 species